AUGGCCUGGACCCCGCUCCUCCUGGGCCUCCUGGCUCACUGCACAGGUUCUGUAUCUUCCUAUGAGGUGAAUCAGCCGCCCUCAUUAUCUGUGAGCCCGGGAGGGGAGUCCAAGAUGACCUGUGCGGGAAACAACAUUGGAAGAAAAAGUGUUUUCUGGUACAAGCAGAAGCCAGACCAGGCCCCUGUGUUGGUCAUGUACAGUGAUUACGACGGGCCCACAAAGAUGCCUGACCGAUUCUUUGGCUCCAACUCUGGCAACCUGGCCACCCUGACCAUCACGGGAGUCCAGGCUGAGGAUGAGGCCGACUAUUACUGUGCAGUAUAUGGUUACAUUGAAAACAGCUGGCAGUAA